AACGUAGGUACCGAGCGUUAUCCGGAUUUACUGGGCGUAAAGCGCGUUCAGGCGGCUUCGCAAGUCGGGCAUGAAAUCUCUCGGCUCAACCGGGAGGGGCUGUCCGAAACUGCGGGGCUUGAGGGCAGUAGAGGGUGGUGGAAUUCCGGGUGUAGUGGUGAAAUGCGUAGAUAUCCGGAGGAACACCAGUGGCGAAAGCGGCCACCUGGACUGUACCUGACGCUCCAACGCGAAAGCUAGGGGAGCGAACGGG
rnacentral:rRNA from 1 species